AUUGAACGCUGGCGGCAGGCCUAACACAUGCAAGUCGAGCGAGCGGCGGACGGGUGAGUAAUGUCUGGGAAACUGCCCGAUAGAGGGGGAUAACUACUGGAAACGGUGGCUAAUACCGCAUACUAUCGGCUGAGCCCAUAUGGGAUUAGCUAGUAGGUUGGGUAAAGGCUCACCUAGGCGACGAUCUCUAGCUGGUCUGAGAGGAUGAUCAGCCACACUGGCACUGAGACACGGCCCAGACUCCUACGUGAGGCAGCAGUGGGGAAUAGUGCACAAUGGGCGCAAGCCGGAUGCAGCCAUGCCGCGUGUAUGAAGAAGGCCUUAGGGUUGUAAAGUACUUUCAGCGGGGAGGCGUUACCCGCAGAAGAAGCACCGGCUAACUCCGUGCCAGCAGCCGCGGUAAUUC
rnacentral:rRNA from 1 species